UACAGAGGGGGCAAGCGUUGUUCGGAAUUACUGGGCGUAAAGGGCGCGUAGGCGGCCGCCUAAGUCAGACGUGAAAUCCCUCGGCUCAACCGGGGAACUGCGUCUGAUACUGGGUGGCUUGAAUCCGGGAGAGGGAUGCAGAAUUCCAGGUGUAGCGGUGAAAUGCGUAGAUAUCUGGAGGAAUACCGGUGGCGAAGGCGGCAUCCUGGACCGGCAUUGACGCUGAUGAGCGAAAGCUAGGGGAGCAAACGGG
rnacentral:rRNA from 1 species